rnacentral:rRNA from 1 species
AUGGCGAGUCCGGCUGCCGUGUCCGCCGUCGCUGUGGCCCUGGCGCUGCUGGUGGCGUCAGCGGACGCGUGGCUGCACGAGGAGUUCGACACGGAGGGCAACGUGCGGGCCGGCUACGACGCGCGGGGGCAGCAGGUGGCGUCGAUCGUCCUCGACCGGCAGUCCGGCGGCGCCUUCCGCUCCCGGCGCAGCUACCUCUACGGCCAGUUCAGCGUCCAGAUCAAGCUCGUCCCCGGCAACUCCGCCGGCACCGUCGCCUCCUUCUACCUGUCGUCGGGCGACGGGCCGAGGCACGACGAGAUCGACAUGGAGUUCAUGGGCAACAGCACCGGUCAACCCGUGGCGCUCAACACCAACGUGUGGGCCAACGGCGACGGCAAGAAGGAGCAGCAGUUCUACCUCUGGUUCGACCCGGCCGCCGACUACCACACCUACACCAUCAUCUGGAACGCCAAGAACGUCAUCUUCAAGGUGGACGACCUCUUCCUCCGCUGCUUCACCCGCCACGCCGACCUGCCGUACCCGGGCGCCAAGCCCAUGGCGGUGCACGCGACGCUCUGGGACGGCAGCUACUGGGCGACGCAGCGGGGCAAGGUGAAGGUGGACUGGACCACCGCGCCCUUCGUCGCCUCCUACCGCGGCUACUCCGCCGACGCCUGCGUGCCCGCCGGCGCCGGCCGCCCGCUCGCCUGCCCCGCCGGCACCGGCCGCUGGAUGCGGCGCCGGCCCAGCGCCGCCGAGCGGGGCACCGUCGCCUGGGCUAAGAAGAAUUACAUGCGCUACAACUACUGCGACGACGGCUGGCGGUUCCCCAAGGGGUUCCCCGCCGAGUGCUCCCGCGGCUGA